ACCAACUGAAGAGGUUUUUUUCGAAAUUGAGAUAGCGAUUGAUUUAGAUAGUAGAUAGCAUCAAAGUUAGUUCCUAAAAAUUUGAGAUUUUAGAAAAGCGUAUUUAUAUUAGAAAAAGUAAUUUAAAAGUGGAAAAAAUAACGAGAUUUGAAAAUCAGCUUCAAUGGCCGAAACCGGAAGUGACGUAUUGUAAUGGACUGAGAAAAUAAAACAUAUAUGACAUGUGGCAUACAGACAAGUUUACUAGAUGGAUCUUUCAUCAUUUUGGAAAUACAAUAUUCCCUGUGAAACAAAUCACAGAAACAUUCUACAAUUUUAUUUUAUAUAAUAAAUACCAAUAAAUGUAAAUACAAAAUCACAUUUUAAUAGAGUUCUUCAUUAUGCACACAACAUUAUUUUAGUAUGUUCCUUUUCACUUGCUAGGUUUAGACAAAGUUUCGAAUCAGGAUUUAAUAUUAUUAAGUCAUAGCCCAAAACUCCAGCAGGAUGUUAGUUAAUGGCAGUAGUCAAUGUUUGAACCUGAGACCACAGAGAAGACAGUUCGGAGUGCAAACCACACAACUUUCUGCGUUUCGAAACCUAUUCAAAUUUUUAUGUUAAUGCAGAUCUGAAUAUCCAUUGCAAUGAUGACUUGAUCUGUAAAGGGGUUACAUUUUUUAAAAAUAAGUUGGAUCUCAUUCUUCGAAUGAUGCUAUUUAUUAGAAAUUGAAACGUGGAAUACAUAUUAGAGGCCAAAAGAAAAUCCACUGAUGAGGGAAGACGUAGACGUCGUAAAGAAAAUUUAAAUUGACCACCAGCUGAAUAUGGUUAUGUCUUCGCUGGACGCGGCAAAAUAUCUAGUUUGCAGCUGCGGCUGCGUAGCCAUGGAAAAUACUGCAUUUCUCAUUAAUCUUUCGACUCGACUGCCAGCCUUAUUUAUUAAACACUUUAAAUUAUGAAUAGCUCUGCAUUUUUUAAUAACAAUAAAAAAAAUAUAUAUAUUCAGUGAUUAACUGGCAAUAAUUUUAAUUGGGUUACUAAAAUUCAAUAAAAUGAGUUGCAUAAUUACAUCAACAGUAGCCUAAAUGCAUUACUUAACAUUAUAUUGAUACUAUAGUUUAUUUUCCACUUCCCUGACUUCCCAGAGAAAAGAAAAAAACGACAACUCCUUCUCCAGUAGGAUAAUCUCUUUCAUUUAUAGUCUAAACACAAUUUAAAACUUUGUUACCUACAGUUACAGAUUAACUUGCUAACUUAACUAUCUAAUAAUCUAAUGAUUCUCUAGCUAUUCCAAUUAACAAAUGAGUCAAGCGUGAGAUAAAUGAAAACUCUUUAAUUUUUAGAUAUAUAUUUAUAGAACUAUGUAAGUAUAUAGGCCCGAAUAUACGAUACGAAUAUAUUUAAAUAAGAGUGUAAUAAAAUCCAUAUUUCGUAUAUUAACAGUAUUAUAGAACUGGUAGAUCUAGGUCUAAUUUUUGCCUUAUAGAUUAGUUUUUAGAAAUUUAGAUCUAGUACUUUUUUUACUAUUAGAUCUAAAUCAGACUACUUUUAAGUCUAAGUUAAGGUUUAAGUUAAAGCUAUUUGCCUAGUGUUGUACGGGGUUGUGACUCUAGAUUCAAACUAAAUAUAAUCGUAUACUACAAUAACUACAUUGAAUGAGCUCAACAUUCACAUUGUAAUAAUUGUUUUUUUCCCAUUAUAUUGGGCCUAUUUAGGGACGACUAUAGGUUAAUAAUCACUAUUAAGUGUAUAGAUAGAGUAUAUAAUUUUAAACUUUGUUUUUCUAGGUCUAGGCCCAGCACCUCGAUCGGAUCAGUCUAAAUAGAUAGGUCUUAUCUCUAAAUAUCCAAUACUACUAUUACUAGAUCUAGACUUCAUCUAAUUGGAUUUAGAUCUAAAUUUAGGUCUACUUCGCACAUCAUUAAUGAUUUGAGAAAAGAACUCUGCUCUUGAUCAAAAGCAGUAGAUCUAGAACUAGAAUAAGCCUGAAGCAGUAACAUAAGUGUUAGACACCUUAUUUAUAUAGGUUAGUUAUUUAGCGACGCACCAUAGAAGACGCAUAUUGAACGGGACUAGUGACGUUUGGGAUAUGUUGGGUUAGAGACCGGAAAAUCAGUUAGCGAUAGAACAUUCCAGGGUAACGACGUGUUUAGUGACAGAGACUUCUACUGUGGCCUUUUAUCAGAAUAAAUCUAUGUAAACUUGUU